AUACGUAGGGGGCGAGCGUUGUCCGGAAUGAUUGGGCGUAAAGGGCGCGUAGGCGGCGCGGUAAGUCUGGAGUGAAAGUCCUGCUUUCAAGAUGGGAAUUGCUUUGGAUACUGCCGCGCUUGAGUGCAGGAGAGGUUAUCGGAAUUCCCGGUGUAGCGGUGAAAUGCGUAGAGAUCGGGAGGAACACCAGUGGCGAAGGCGGGUAACUGGACUGCAACUGACGCUGAGGCGCGAAAGUGUGGGGAGCAAACAGGAUUAGAUACCCUGGUAGUCCACACUGUAAACGAUGAAUGCUAGGUGUAAGAGGUAUCGACCCCUUUUGUGCCGGAGUCAACACAAUAAGCAUUCCGCCUGGGGAGUACGGCCGCAAGGUUGAAACUCAAAUGAAUUGACGGGG
rnacentral:rRNA from 1 species